CCUACGGGUGGCUGCAGUAGGGAAUAUUCCACAAUGGGCGAAAGCCUGAUGGAGCAACGCCGCGUGGGUGAAGAAGGUCUUCGGAUCGUAAAACCCUGUUGUUAGAGAAGAAAGAUCGUGAGAGUAGCUGUUAACGUUUCGACGGUAUCUAACCAGAAAGCCACCGCUAACUCGGCGGCAGCAGCCGCGGUAAUACGUAGGUGGCAAGCUUGAUCUGGAUUUAUUGGGUGUAAGGGGAACGCAGGGGGGCUGUUAAGUUUGAUGUGAAGGCCUUCGGCUUAAGGGGAGUAGUGCAUUGGAAACCGGGUGGCUUGAGUGCGGAUGAGGAGAGUGGAACGUGAGGUGUAGCGGUGAAAUGCGUAGAUAUAAGAAAGAACACCAGUGGCGAAAGCGUCUCUCGGAUCUGUAACUGACGCUGAGGUUCGAAAGCGUGGGUAGCAAACAGGAUUAGAUACCCUAGUAGUC
rnacentral:rRNA from 1 species